rnacentral:rRNA from 1 species
UACAUGGGGUGCAAACGUUGCUCGGAAUCAUUGGGCGUAAAGCGCGCGUAGGCGGUUGCUUAAGUCGGAUGUGAAAGCCCUCGGCUUAACUGAGGAAGUGCAUCCGAAACUGAGCAGCUAGAGUACGAAAGAGGGUCGCGGAAUUCCCGGUGUAGAGGUGAAAUUCGUAGAUAUCGGGAGGAACACCGGGUGGCGAAGGCGGCGACCUGGGUCGAGACUGACGCUGAGGCGCGAAAGCGUGGGGGAGCAAACAGG